GUAGGGAAUCUUGCGCAAUGGGCGAAAGCCUGACGCAGCCAUGCCGCGUGAAUGAUGAAGGUCUUAGGAUUGUAAAAUUCUUUCACCGGGGACGAUAAUGACGGUACCCGGAGAAGAAGCUCCGGCUAACUUCGUGCCAGCAGCCGCGGUAAUACGAAGGGGGCUAGCGUUGCUCGGAAUUACUGGGCGUAAAGGGCGCGUAGGCGGAUAUUUAAGUCGGGGGUGAAAGCCCGGGGCUCAACCUCGGAAUAGCCUUCGAUACUGGAUAUCUUGAGUACGGGAGAGGUGUGUGGAACUCCGUGUGUAGAGGUGAAAUUCGUAGAUAUUCGGAAGAACACCAGUGGCGAAGGCGACACACUGGCCCGUUACUGACGCUGAGGCGCGAAAGCGUGGGGAGCAAACAGGAUUAGAAACCCUGGUAGUCC
rnacentral:rRNA from 1 species